rnacentral:rRNA from 1 species
GUGGGGAAUAUUGCACAAUGGGCGCAAGCCUGAUGCAGCAACGCCGCGUGAGGGACGACGGCCUUCGGGUUGUAAACCUCUUUUAGUAGGGAAGAAGCGAAAGUGACGGUACCUGCAGAAAAAGCACCGGCUAACUACGUGCCAGCAGCCGCGGUAAUACGUAGGGUGCAAGCGUUGUCCGGAAUUAUUGGGCGUAAAGAGCUCGUAGGCGGUCUGUCGCGUCUGCUGUGAAAACCCGAGGCUCAACCUCGGGCCUGCAGUGGGUACGGGCAGACUAGAGUGCGGUAGGGGAGAUUGGAAUUCCUGGUGUAGCGGUGGAAUGCGCAGAUAUCAGGAGGAACACCGAUGGCGAAGGCAGAUCUCUGGGCCGUAACUGACGCUGAGGAGCGAAAGCGUGGGGAGCGAACAGGA